CAGCGUGGCGCCUUUCUCCGCCUUCGAGCCGGCCCCGGCGCGGGGCUGAAGGGAGGGGUUGGCUCAAAAGUCGCUCCUUCCCCCAGCAGGGGCGCCCGGCGAGUCCCCGCGCGAGCGGAGAGUGGCGGCGGCGGCGGCGGCGGCAAAGUUCCCGGGGCUUCUCCCAGGCUGCUGUCCGGGUUGCCUGGCCGAGGCGAUGGCUUCCAAACUCCUGCGCGCGGUCAUCCUCGGGCCGCCCGGCUCGGGCAAGGGCACCGUGUGCCAGAGGAUCGCUCAGAGCUUUGGCCUCCAGCAUCUCUCCAGCGGCCACUUCCUGCGGGAGAACAUCCGAGCCAACACCGAAGUUGGUGAUAUGGCAAAGCAGUACAUCGAGAAGGGUCUUUUGGUUCCAGAUCAUGUGAUCACACGCCUGAUGAUGUCAGAACUGGAGAAUAGGCGCCUCCAGCACUGGCUACUAGAUGGUUUUCCUAGGACAUUAGUUCAGGCUGAAGCCCUGGACAAAAUCUGUGAGCUGGAUCUAGUGAUCACUUUGAACAUUCCAUUUGAAACACUCAAAGAUCGUCUCAGCCGACGUUGGAUUCACCCUCCUAGUGGAAGGGUAUAUAACCUGGACUUCAAUCCACCUCACGUACAUGGGAUUGAUGACAUCACGGGUGAGCCAUUAGUCCAGCAGGAGGAUGAUAAACCUGAAGCAGUGGCUGCCAGGCUAAGGCAGUACAAGGAUGUGGCAAAGCCAGUCAUUGAAUUAUACAAGUGAGUGUAUUUCAACAUUUUCAUGGCAGACGGUCUGUUAGAACCGUGUGGCGCACAGUGGGAAGGACGCCAGGCUGAGAAGCCGAGGAGUGCUCCACCAAUUUUCUGGAACGGAGACUAACAAAAUCUGGCCCUAUGUUUACACACUUUUCUCAAACAAGAUCACCCCUAUCCAGUCCAAAGAAGCAUACUGAGCCCGCCCAAUGAAAGAACCAGGAAAAUGUCGUUCAUUCAGUUGUAUGUGUAGUAUUGGUGCCGUGUCCAAGUUAGAAGCUAGUGGGGAUAGCUUUCAGCGUCUUUUCUAGUUUAACUGGUGGACUGAAAUGAAAAUGAAUGAGUAGAAUGCAUUCCUGAAGAGGCUCCUCUCUGCCUUUCACAAGAAGGGUCACCUACAUGUGUCUAAGAUGCCUCUGCACAUCUCAAGCACUUCACAGGAAAGCAAGUCCAGUCUGAAUUUCCAACAGCGUCUAACCCAAACUCUCGCUGAUUUACAAUCGUCAUGUUGUUGCCAUAGUAGCCUUCUCACACGUGACACUGUCGGCCUCUGGUUUCCCUGUCCCCCAAAAGCUGUUGAACCACAGCAUCAGGAGGCCUGAAAAGGCCCAGGGCAGUAGCCACAGCCUUGUCCCAAGUUCUCUGGUAGGUGCCCCUCCUGAUGACUGUGCGAUGGAAGCCAGUUGCUCUUUGUGGUUGCUGCUCUGGCCUUGAGUGACUGUCCACAAGUUAUUUUUUUCUCUUAGGAGUGAUACCUUUUCUGCAUCCAUGCUCCAUAGAGUCUUUCCUUUGCAGACAUCCUGGAAUGAAAGGAUUUGGCUUCUACUAUUUUUAUUAAACUGUUUUUUUUUUUUUUACAUCUGUUUUCUCCCUUCCUAGGCUAUGAAGCAAUACAGAUAGUUACUGCUUUUAUCCCUCUCAGAUCCCUUUCUAAGAACUGAGAGCGAGGGGAGGGCGUCAGAUCGCUUCCUGCACCAGGAACAGAGUUCUGCAAAGGGUCUACUUACGCUGCUGGGCUGACUCUUAUGGGGUGACACUGCCCUUUGCUUUUAUUGUGAAAAAGUAAAAUCCUCCAAGCCUUUGGGAGUCUUCAAAAAAAAAAAAAAAAAAAAAAAAAGAUGCUUACCGACAUAAAUGUUAAAGGAUCAUAUCUUGUGUAUAGAUGUAAUAACACCAUAUGAAAUUAUUGCACUAAAAGAAUGGUUUAGCUUUUUAUUCAAGACAAAAAAAAAUGUAUUUUGAGAUGCUGCUAAAUAUUGAUGCUGACAGUGUUUUUCUCCUGUGAGUGACCCAAGCAUAUUAUAAAUAGUUGGUAAGGGGAAGGGAGCCUGUGGGUUGAGGAAAAUGUUGCACUAGCUGUGUCCAGAUUAAGUAUGACAGCUUGAUGAUUAUGGGAAAACAAAUUCUUAGAGCUUUUUUUUCUAUUCCAAAGAUGCUUUCUAUGGGGUGGCCAUUAAGUCUAGAAAUACAGAUAAUACAAUUUUGUCAUUCUUUGUAAUUGUAAUAUCAAUAAAUCAUUUAUUAAAGAUUUGCCUACUUUCCAGACUUGGUGGCCACCUAAUGUAAUUCUUGCUCUCCUCUGGGAAGGACAAUGAAAUUUAUUCCUGUUGCCUUAAAAAUAAAUACCCUUCUCCGUGCAUUGUGAUUGUCCCUAAGGAAGGUCCUUUGCUAUUCCUGGGAGCGACUUCUGACUAACUUUUCAUACUGGAGAGGCAAAACAAAACAAAACAAAACCUAUUUCAGCAUGCCAAUUGUGUUGCAAUGUGUUAUUUAUUUUCUGAAGAUGUCCCAGCAAAUCUCCAGUUAAUUCCCUGGCAUAACUGUUCUGUAUAGUAAUGAUUGCAUCUUCCUUACAAAAACUGCCCCACCCAUGCCAGUUCCUCUCCCUCUAUUCCUUCAUGUGACUGUUCUUUGACUUCCCUAGUGGAAACAUAGACUGGUCUCCUCCUCAUUCUCUGAAUCACCAUGUUACUUUUUAGGUUUAUGCAAUAGAAGUGCCCAGUUCAGGUCCAUGAAACAUCAGUGCGUGAUACAGUCUUCCGAGUGCUUCAGAAGAGCCAUGUUUGAAUGUCAGUUGGUGGGAUCAGGGUGAAAAUCAGACAGAUAGGUACAGCUCAGAUAUCCUGGGGAACCAGGUAUAGAGAAAACAAGUGUGAAAUGAGGAAAAUUGCACAAUUCAGAUUAGUAUUGCCAUGGAGACAAUUUCCACAAACAAGGAAAAGUAGAGCGUUAAGGCUAUUAUAUGGGUAAUUCAAGAAAGGAAAGUUUGUGUCCUACUAGAAGCAGACAGAUCUUCACAAAUGCUUCCCUUAGUUCUUUGGUCUUUAACAGACUCCCUUUGGAGUUCGUGAGAGAGGUACGGGAAAUGGGAAAUGGCUGGUCCCUGAUGCCAUGCCCUAGUCCUCUGUCCUUGCCUCCUCUCCUCCAGCAAAACAGACUGUUACAGUCAGCAUUAGAGUCCUUCAGUGUGUCAGAGGCAUUUGCUGUUUCUGAGGCAGCCCAGCAAUUGAGGGUCCUGUGCUUGGUGAGACCAAUAAAAAAGACAGACACCUUUCCCAUGGUCUUUGAAAGAUGAUAACUUAUUUCAUGCACACUGGCCUAAAAAGUCUGUGUCUGAUUUUCUUCAACAAGCUCUCUAGGUUUUCCUCCAGUUUUGUGAAAAAUUAAAAUUCCCUUGAAAAUAUUUUGACAAAAACAAAAGGAACAUCUUUUUUUAAGUUUUUUUUUAAUUUACCUAUUCAUGAAAGACACAAAUAGAGAGAGAGAGGCAGAGGCAGAGGGAGAAGCAGGCUCCAUGCAGAGAGCCCAACGCGGGACCCGAUCCCGGGACUCCAGGAUCAGGCCCCGGGCCGAAGGCGGCACUAAACCUCUGAGCCACCUGGGCUGCCCAAAAAGGAACAUUUUUCCUUCGUUUUCCUUCUACUGCCACACAUACAGUUCCUUCAGAGUUAUGCAAAGGAAGUAGUUUGUCCCUAUGAUUCCUAACCUGUCCCCGUAUUCUGAUAUUCUAGCCAGCUCUGAAUUCAUUUUGCUUUCCACUAUCUGAACAGGCUUCCCACGUACUUAGAACUUGGAAACAUUGCUGUGUUUAAUAUCCUCUUAACACUAAGGCAUACAUAAAAUAAGUACCAUUUAUGGAAGGCCUUUGGGGGUGAUAGGAGCAGUUCUAGGACCUUUACAAACAUCCCAUUUAAUCUUUCAAGCACCCUUUGGGAUAGGCAUGAUGCCAUGUUUAUAAACAAAGAAGGCAGGGGUCAGAGAUGUGAAGCAUCUUGCCCAGGCUCUUGCUGCCAGUAAACAGCACAGCCAGGACUCACACCCAGGUUUCCCUAACCUGCAGCUCCCUAACCUGCAGCCUGACUUUGCUCCUGGAUGUUUACUGUGUCCUAUCCCAGCCAACCCAGGGUGAUGAUCCUGCUUGACUUUGUUAGUAGCUCCAAGCGGCCUCACAUCAAAAGGAGCAAAAGUGACAUAGCUCUACGUAGGACUUUUCCUUUUUUCCCCCCUUUGCUUAAGCAAAGGGAGCUGCUAGAGGAAGGUCUGAGCCUUGAUCUUUUAUAACUACUCACUUAUAAAAUGAAUGGCUGUUGAAGUAGGCUAGGCUUGUGUCCAAGUGAAAUCUGUGGAGGAGUCAGGUUCAUGUUCCUCACCUACCCUUUUGGUGUUCAUGGUGUUAUACCCCUGAAUGGACCUUUAUCCUUGAGCCACCCCCAGCUACAGUGUUCACUGUAGACCUGGGCUGCUGGGAGAUCUCCACAUGCUACUCACUUUUUUCCCCUGAUACCAGAACAAAUCAGUACCUCACUCUUACCCCCUAAUAAGGCCCUGAUAAAAGACUGGCCCUUCCUGAAGUGCUGACUGGUGAACAGAAGGCCAUUGAGCCACUAACAUAGGGUAAUCCUUGAUUUUUGUACCAUCUUUCCUAUAUCACACUACACAUCAACAUGAUUCUGAAUGCCAAAUUCACACCUUUGCCUGCCAUCCGAUAUGGUGGCUCUGCUUGUCGUGCACAAUUCUGGCAGUAACUGGGGGAAACGCUUCCUACCUUCCCCAAGGUCACUCCUUGCCACCUUCCAGCAACCAAGCUCACAUGAGCUCCAGCUUUACCCAGGCUGUGCCGCUCUUUUUGGUAGGGAAGGAAAAAGGUAAGAGCCACGGUUGAGGAGGAUUCUCGGAAAGAGGUACUGCUGUGGCUUCUCCUACCACUUAAAAUGUUGAGACAGGAUAGUUGUAGGGACAAGGGUACCUGUGCAAAAUCAUAAAUAGGACUUUUAUAAAAUUCAGUUCACUGUAUACUGAUUUCAGUAUUUGACUUUGGCUAAACAGCUUAUCAGCCUGCUGGGAGUCUUGGUAAUUACUAUUGAUUGGUACUUCAUGCUAAGCAUAUUAUAUGCAUUGUCUAAUUAAAUCCUCAACAAUUACCCUACAUGAUAGAUAUUUUGGUUAUCCUGCCUCUUUGUGUAAAAACUGAAGACGUCCUGUUUACUUAAACUUGUGUUUUCAUGUACCUAUAGGGAUUAAUCAGGAAAUUUAAAAAGGCGCUUUUUUUGUACCUUUUCCUCCUUGGAGCUCCCCAUACUAAUUAAUGGGUAAAACAGUGUUAUUUGUACCUGGAAUCUUUGCUUUUGGUGCUCUGGUGCUGAGGUAAGAAAUGAGCACUCAGUGGGUCCCGGUGGUAGUUGCACACUGUAUAAACAGAGGGCAUACAUCUCAUCUGCACUCUGCUGAGUUACAGGAUCUUGGGAGACAUUCCUAUCUACCUGAUAAUUUCAUUUAUUACCUUUCAUUUACUUUGAUAUUUACCUUCCAGUAUUUUUUCUUCCCACAGUUUUUCCAGAAAUGCAAUUAAUUCAUAAGGCCAAGUCACGUUCUUAGUAUGAAUUACUUUCAAUUCCCCUGCAUUUUUAGUAACUCCCUUGUCUAUUUAGUGUCUCAAAAGAAGAACUUAGCAACGGAGACUUUUUCUAAAAUGGAGGUGUGGUCUGGUCGUAAGUUAUCAUCCCUUUCCACAAAUAACUGAUUCAGUCUGGUUUCUAGAUGAAAAAUGUUACAAGACCCAGAUGUCGGGAAACCAUGAAGCUGUGUUUCAACUAUGAAGAUAAAUCUGCUUCCUGCAUCUGUUGAGAUAUACUAUAAUUACAAUUGUUCAUAAAUGCCAUACCUUAUCUCUCUUUUAACAAAUUGCACAAGUCUUGCCAAAAUAAAUGCCAUUAUCCGUAUGUAUGCUUCAGGGAAUCCUCCCAAUUUGAUCAGUGUGUUUGUGUGUGCAUCUGGGGCGGGAGGGAGGGAGAAGUAGGGAGAGGGAGAUGGAGAGAUGGUAAACAUCUCCAAAAGGAUGAGAGUCCUUGGAUGACAUGGGUAUGUAUUCCUUCUGGUAAUAAUUAAGCUAUUCCAGGCAACAGUGUCAUUCUGGAAAUAAAAAGGUUUCCUGUUGAAAACUUUGCCAAGGAGCAGCGCACCUUGAAAUUCUCCCUGAGGUUGAUGUGUGUCUAAUUCCAUCUCAUAAAACUGUUCAUUUUGAAGCUUUGGCUGUAACGUCAGAAAUGUACUAAAUAAAAACUAUUUAAUUUAGAGAAGUAAAGGGAAGAAAUAAACCUCUUUAUGUAAGCUUCAAGGUGUUAGGGCUUAGAGGGCUUUUCUAGUUUCAUGAGAAUUUGUACUACUGAUUUUUAUAUAUUCCUAUUUUUGAGAUGAACAGAUCUCUGGGGGAAAUUGUUGCAUUACAAUGGUGUUUCACUGUGACCCCUAUCAAGCUCAAAUCUGUUCUCUAAGCCAAUGACAGCUUGUCACUUCUGUUUACUGUCCUGUGAAAAGUCAGCUCCAGUUUCCCAGAAGUUGUGUGUUUAUGAUGAGUCAUUGCUUCUCCUCAGUGUGAAAGUUGUCAGCCCUUUUGAUUUGGGUGUACAUGCUUAAAAGUAUCUAAACUUGUAUUCUAAUCUGUACAUGCUCUCCUAACUGUUAAAUUGUGUUAUUGACUACUUUGGUUAUCUUGCUUGAAGAUUGAUUCCUACUUUUUAAUUUGAUAGAAAUAAAGGUUUUUUUUUCUGCUUAUAA